UUGCCCUGUGCCUCGCUCGGUUGUUAAUUGCCAAUAUUACGAUCUUGAGCUGGAUGACAAAAAAAUAAAGAUACAUUUUAUWUUUUUGAUCAACGGGCUAAAACAAUUAGACUUCUUUGAGUACGAGGAUAUCGCUAUUUUUAUCUCACGGUAUCGUAUUGUAAUUAGAACGUCUCAUAUCA
rfam:Saccharomyces cerevisiae AWRI796 chromosome XV, whole genome shotgun sequence.